rnacentral:rRNA from 1 species
UACGGACUGUGCAAACGUUAUUCGGAAUCACUGGGCUUAAAGAGUCCGUAGGCGGCUUGUUAGGUGAGGUGUGAAAGCCCUCGGCCCAACCGAGGAAUUGCGCUUCAAACCGGCAAGCUAGAGGAGGAUAGAGGUGGGCGGAACUGAUGGUGGAGCGGUGAAAUGCGCAGAUAUCAGGAGGAACACCGAUGGCGAAGGCAGGUCUCUGGGCCGAUACUGACGCUGAGGAGCGAAAGCGUGGGGAGCGAACAGG